CCACUGUGAGCAAGAUCAGCGAGGGAUCAGUGAGGAGCGAAUCCACAGCACCUGGCAGAGAUUGAAAAACAAGGCAAAAUCCAUCAAAAGGAUUGGGCAACACCCUGCGGGAGUGACAUACAGGAACCAUGGUGGAGGGUGAUUUGAAAACUGCCAGUCAGAGAUGGGCCACAAAGCUCAUCUCCACACGGCUCAUCAUUCUGCUGCUGAAUUGGGUCAUCCAGGGGCUCCUGAGUUCUUGGCUCAUGGAGGGAAGUGAGUAGCUAGGUGCUGGACAGGGCCGGCUCCAGCUUUUUUGCCGCCCCAAGUGGCAACGGAAAAAAAACCAAACCAAGCCUGGUUGAGCUGCCGCCAGAGUGCCACCGAAGAGGAAGGGAGGGACUGCAGGGCCCGCUGCCGAAUUGCCGCCGAAGACCCAGACAUGCCGCCCUGACGGAGUGCCGCCCCUUUCUGUUGACUGCCCCAGGCACCUGCUUCCUUCGCUGGUGCCUGAAGCCGUCCCUGGUGCUGGAGCAGGCUCGGGCUGGGGGGCAAUCUUAGUACUGCUGAGAAGCCAUUUGCAGAUGUACUGGGCAUCCCAAGACUGGCUCAAAGGUUCCAGGGAGAUGAGCUCUAGAAGAGGCUGACAGAGCAGAUGUCUCUCCGCUCCAAGGCUGUGAAGUUUGUUUGAUCUUAAUUGUCCUCCUUAAGAACCCCAAAUUGGGCUGUUUUGUAGAAGUCUGAACCAGGGAGAGUGUAUGUGAGAGAGAGGCUGUGAGGUGGAACGAGCAGAGUCUGCUCAGCGGUUUCACAAGGAGAUAGGUAGGGCAUACCAAAUUCAUGGUCCAUUUUGAAAAUGGACUUUUAAAAAUCAUAAAUUUCAUAUAUUUAAAUCUGAAAUGUCAUGAUGUUGCAAUUUUAGGGGUCCUGACCCAAAAGGGUGUUGUGGGGAGGGUUGUUAGAUUUUUGUA